CGCACGCGCGUCCUCAGUUGCGCACGGUUACGCACGUAAGUCCUAGGUUGCGCGCCGUUGCGUACAGCUGUGGUGGGGACCGAACGGCCAACUGGGUUGCCUGGGGCAACUGACAGAACUGGGCAACUGACAGAACUGGCCCGGCACUGCUUUGCCCACAGUCGCAUCAGCAAAGAACCCCAUCUACGUGACAGACGGCGCUAUUAAUAGAAAAUUAGGCUUCAACCCAAUUGACCAAUAGAAAUGCUUCAAGGCCCGUCAUUGCUUAGUAAUAGUUGUGCGCCGGUGCUGCUUUGGCAGUGGGUGGAAUUUGUUGGGUUUAAUACGAGCCUGAAGCUUUGCCCGCUUAGGUAAAAGCCAGAGUUAGUAGAGUGGAUAGAGAGAAGUGAUUUAUAUAAUGGCUGGGGGUGAUAGGGUUUAAUUGUGCUUUUCUGGGUGGGAAUGUUUGAGACACGUUAUAAUAGCGACACAUAUAGUCUUUGGCAAGUGAGUGGCCACAGCCCGUUAGGAACUAGAGACUUUUGGGGCUGCUGGGUAGUGGCAACCCGGCCGGCCACUUCAGCACUCGCAGCAGCAGUGCGCAACAUCGUGCAGCUUGCGUGCGUAAUCGAGGGCGCGCGUGCGCAAAACACUUUGACUUCAGAGAGCGCCCCCACUUUUCACUGAGGUAACACUUGCCGGACUAGGGGUAGGCUGCAUAUGAGGUACUGGGCAAUUAUCAAACGUGUGCAGGAGCAAUAUAAUGUUCAAUCACUCAAUUGAGCUCAGUUGCUUGAAAAAUUCCCUCAUUUUUCUGUCAGCUCUCAUUAUGAAGACCUCCAUGACUGCUUCAGAAAUCCGCCAGAAGUUUAUAGACUUCUUCAAAGAUAAUGGGCUUAUGUCCAUUCUUCUGCCACAGUCCCCUUGGAUUGACCCAACUCUGCUCUUUGCCAAUGCUGGAAUGAACCAGAUAUGUUCUACGUCAAAUUCUUCGCCGUGCUGUGAGAUACGCCCAUGAAAAUCUUAAUGCAUCAAAAGGCUUUUUUCUACACUCUAGUCGAUGUGGUUGUCCAGUCACUGGUAUAUAAAUCUGCUCCACUUUUAUUAAUGAGUAUUUGUAUGUGGCCAAUACAGUAUUAGAAAGGCAUAUUCCUCAUCUAAACACAUAACAAUAUUAGGAGCACUCUGAUCAUUAGCAUACAGGAGAAGUGAGUCAUGGGGUUUUCACAGUUGAUGUCUGCAAAAUUAGAUGCUUGUGAUGUGGCUGAGGCUAAGGAAGAGAUGGCAGAAACAGUCAUGGUUGAGAUUUCCUAAAGAUCAACUAAAUGUAUCAAUUUAGAACAGUUUACAGGAUCGGCGACCCCCCCCCCAGAGCUGCUUCAGAAGGUGAAAAAAGACACUUGACACUUCAAUAUUAGAAAAACGGUCACAUAUAGAAAAUAGAAAGUCAAUGGAAAAAGUAAUUAUUUCUGGUGAUCUAUCUGAAAACAAGGAAUUGUUUGAAGGUGAACCACCCCUUUAAACACCCAGACAAUACUCAGUGUAACUUCUAAUUGUACGUUGCCAUAGUCCAAUUCAUAGUUACAAUGACUAAAUUUACAUUAUGCAAAGAGAAUAAAACUGAUUUGCUUGGC